CUGACACACACUAGACAUUACUAAAUAUUUUUUGAAUGAAGAGUGUGUUAAUAAAUGAACUGUGCUGGGUUCUGAAUGCUUCAUAUGUUUAAAGAAGAAAGAUUGCUGAGGACUCUCAGCCAAGGAAAGAGUUUUAUCCAAAAGGAAUUACUCAAGGUGAUGAGGACGAUUGAUGACAGAAUAGUACAUGAAUUAAACACUACGGUUCCAACAGCUUCCUUUGCAGGGAAAAUUGAUGCAAGCCAAACCUGUAAACAACUUUAUGAGUCUUUGAUGGAAGCUCAUGCCAGCAGGGACAGAGUCAUAAAAAAUUGUAUAGCUCAGACCUCAGCAGUAGUAAAACACCUCCGAGAAGAGAGAGAAAAGAAUUUGGAUGAUUUAACGUUAUUAAAGCAACUUAGGAAAGAACAGACAAAGUUGAAAUGGAUGCAGUCAGAAUUGAAUGUUGAAGAAGUUGUAAAUGACAGGAGCUGGAAGGUGUUUAAUGAACGCUGCCGAAUUCACUUCAAGCCUCCAAAGAAUGAAUAAAAAGAUACUUUUUUAUAAAAGGACCGGGACAUCUCAUAAGAGCUAAGCAUGACAGAUAUCAACAAGUUCUGUAGGUCACAAGUCCAGGACUGGGUUCUCUGCUUGGGGUCACAUAGGCUGAAAUCAAGUCAGCUGUGAAGAAAGCAGAUUGAGAAAGGAGGAAACAAUGCCAGUGCUUUCUGAGGAUAAAGCAGGAUCUCAUUCAUGUGCACCACCUCGGGACCUAGGAGUUCAAAUAUGGUAGGACUGGGAUGAUCCAUUUAUAUAACUCAGUGUUGCAAUUUUCCUAUGCUUAGCUGGUUAGGACUGGUUAAUUUAUUUUUUGGCUCAAAACAUUUUUCAAAAAUGUUAUAUCUUAAGUAGUUAUUGAAUAAGCCAGAGUGUGUGUUGGUAAAAUGGUUUUGUCAAGAUUAAGUAAAUGCAUUUGAAUGUCUGUUGUUAUUAUUUAUUAAAUCAGAAUUGUCAUCUCAAUACAAAAGGAUGGAAAUUGUUCCCAAAUAUCUAUGGUUGACUUGAAAUGGUUCCCUCUCAACUUCAUAACGAUUUUCUUCAAUUACAACUGGAUAGUGCAUCAUUUAAUUUAUUGAUGUAGCUAUAAAAUUAAUCUUAAAAUUAUUUUAAAUGUUCCACUGUUUUUAAUUGUACCUGCAGUGUCACAAAUUGACUCCACUUAUUUGAAUUGUCAAAAUUAUUCAAAUUGUAUUAAUCAAAAGGCUUAUGUAAGGGACAAAAGUGGUUUAAGUUAUUUUUCCACCUUAAAUUACUUUAAGUCCUUCCAAAAAUCCAUUUAAUUAAAUAUAUAGAAUCACAAAGCUUUGAGGUACAAUAAGCUUCAAGAUAGCAUGUGGUUCAGCUCCAUGCCUUCAGGCAACUGAGAUACUAUCCUCCCGCUUCCCAUAGGAAGCAGCCAUGGCCACAAAUUAGACAUGCUUGGAACUGUUAAUGAAAUCUCUUUCUAUACAAUUUCUGAAAAUUGUAAUUUAUAAAAUAUAAUUGUCAUUUGGAAGAAAUCAAUGUAAGAAAGCUUUCUAAAUCCACAGGAAACAGAUGGUUUGAAUAUCCCAUCAUCUACCAAAUUUGAGAGUCUACCACUUGGGAAGUUUCAUGUGGGAUAGACAUCUUCAUUUAGCACAACCAGAGGGACAAAAUAUAUGGUGGAGGUGACAGGGAACAUCAUACAAAGUGAGAAAUACAGUAUCUUUUAGUGCCAAGGUGGAUGUUGAACUCUAACCUUAAUGUAGUAAUUUAUUCCGGCAACCACUUGAGUUUUGUACUCUAUAGCUUCAAAUUUUUGGUAAGUCUCAUUUGUUUUUUCUUCAAGCUGAGGUUUAACCUUAAGAAGAGAAAAGAGGAAACACAUUAUCAAAGCUAUAUUGGACUCCAUUUAUGUGAUUUACAAGCCUGGGAACCUCGUGUUUCUGAAGGUCCUUAAACAUGAUAAUGACAGCUAUUUCCAGUAUUUCAAGGAUAAUAAGAUUACAUGGGCUAACUAAAAUGUCAAAUUUUGUUGCGUUACAUCAGCUUGUGGCAAUAUAUGGUAACGUUUUCACUAGUAAAACUCUAAUAUAUGUAUCUUUGAUUGAUAAAGAUGGGAGAGCUAUAAUUCCUAUUUUAUUUAAAAAUUUUUUAUUUUGAAAUAAUUUCAGACUCAAAGUUACAAAAAUAGUGUCAAGAUCCUUAAUUUAAGCACAGCUGUAAUUCACUUUGCCACGUAAGAUAACACAUUUACAGGAUUCACGGAUUAGGAUGUUGGCCACCAUUCUGUCUACCACAGGGGGAUUAUAAGCUUUGAUGGCAGCGUUCCCAAACCAAACAUGACAAGGGAAUGAAAGUCUCAAAUUCAAUAUGUGAACUUUCACUUAAUCUACCAGUUUUCAGUAUUGGUCCUUCAUUCCUGCCCUCAGCUGAGCCUGAUAAUGCUAGUGUCCACUGUGUUCUCUCUGACUCAAUUUCUGCUAAGAGUAGAUCUUCAGAAUUCUGUGAGGGUGGAGGAUGGGUAAUAGGUUAUCAUCUUUCAGCUUGGAAGGGAGUGAAAGGGAAAGAUCUGGGGCAAGCUCCUCAUACAGAUCUGUCAUCAGUUUUCCUGGUGGGAGCCCCAUGCCUCACUCUUGUCAUCAUAAGUUUCUGGCAUUGCUAGUGCUUGAGCCACUUUGGAAUUCUGCACCAUGAAUCCACUUACUUCUGGCUCAUCAUUCCUGUCUGUGGUUUAGGCUUUGUCUAGAUGGUCCAGUAAUUUUCCCUUGUUCAUCUGUUUUCCAUCUUCCAAAGUUUUGUCAGUAUCUCUGAGGUGGUAUUUGCCUAUCUCCUGUUGUCUUUCUAUUUGUUGGCUUUAUACCCUUUACCCUGCAAUAUUUUCCUAUCAUUUAGAAGGAAAAGGAAAUAGACGUGUAUGCUCGAUUAUACCUUGUUUAUUGGGAAGUUGCCUCCCUGCCCAUCACUAAAGCAUUUCACAUGUUUUAGGCAGGUCUCCCAUGCAUCUAGGGUUCUCCCAAGGCCAUAUCAAGUCCUUCCCAUCAGUGGGCAGAUGUCCUGAAUCCUUUUCUAUCAGCACCUCAGUUUGGGUACCAGAACUGUUUUCAAAUAUGUAGACAUUUCCAAACUCUUUGAGUUCUCAGACUACUUUGGAGGCUACAACACUUCAUAGACCACCACCCAUUUCUCCUGUGACCUUCAGAAUAGAUGGGAAGAAUGUGAUACUGCUUUCUUGAGAUGGAAAAUAAAGCUCCAAAGUCGACAAAGGAAGAAGACAAAUCAUGAGGAAAAAAGAAACCAAACAAACGGAAAUGGGAAGAGGUAGGGUGCAGGAGAGCAGGAAAAAAGUGACAGGAGUGCCGAGAGAAGUCAAGUAAGGAGAGGAGUUACUGUCCUGUUGCUUCCUCUGUCUAACCCUUCUGAGCCAAUAUGGGGUACCAGUCAAGUUAGGAGCUAAGUUGGAAAGGGUUAAUCUCUACACUAAACCCAACAUUAUCUAUUUAAACCUCAUUUUACAAAUGAGGGACCUAAGGCUGUGAGGAGAACAUGACUGCUUAAGGCUGAAAAAUUGUUAAUUACAGUUAUUUAAGGUUUUAAAUCCCUUGCUUGAUAGCUUAAGUAUCUGAUUUAUCAGUGGCAGUGAUCUGUAUUCCUUCUGGUUUCCAGUCUUUUGGUCGUGUUUUUUUUUUAUUGCCUAUCAGAAAAUUUUAUUUACGUCUUAAAUUCGAUCAAAAUCUGCAACCUUUCCACUGCAUCUAUAUAGUCCACAAGUCCAGAAUUUUCCAUAAGAGAGCUGACUUCAAAUGUCCGGUUUGUUUCAGUAAGUGCAUUGGCACCUAUCAGUCUGUGUGCCAUGAUUUCAGGUUCACUCUACUUAUAACCUGUAGCCUUGCUCUCUCUUCCCAGUAGAACAGACUGGUAUUAUUCUAACGUUGGAUGCUAUGAACCUGGGGUAAUGAGGCUUAAGCUGAGGAGCAGGAAAGGGGGAAGAAUAGGAAGGAACUGGUCAGUGAAACUUUAAUUUUCAGAAGGCAACUUGGUGCUGAAAGACUCCCCAAGGGUGGGUGCUGAGAGGGUAAAGCCAGCUGGGAGUGGUGGUCUGGGACCUGGUGGUACAUAGACAGACCUCGAGCUGAACACAGUUGACAUUCACUUUCCUCAGCCUACCAUGCAUGGUGGUGGCUGAGAUGCUGGAAGAAGAAACAGUGUGGGUUUGUCAUUUGAGCUCCAGCCAGUGGAAGGAUCCUAUCAGGAAGGAGCAGCUGGCAAAAUACAAUUACCCUAGAGUUGUUCACAUUUUUUUUCUUUUCUUUUCUUUCCUUUCCUUUUCUUUUCUUUUCUUUUCUUUUCUUUUCUUUUCUUUUCUUUUCUUUUUUUUAAUUGCUGCAGAGCAUGAAUCUUGGCGAAUGGUUAGUUCUCUGGGAUCUGAGGAUUCUAGCCAUGCUGCACCUAACACCUAUGGCUUUUCCCUAUCUGUAAUCAUUCUGCAGAAAUAUUGGGCUAUGCAUAAUUUAGGGAAGAAUGGAUAGAAAUGUGAUAGAGGCAACAUGGGUAAGCUAUAUUUUGGGAUGUUUUACAGAGUAAGGAAGGAGAGUUUGGGCAGUAGCAUGAAAGUAUAGUAGGGCUGAUGAGAAGUGACUUAGACAUUUGUCAUCUGACCAUGUUUUGAGGGAAGGGACAAGUAUGGGGCAAGGCAACUGGUACGCAAGAAAUGAUGGCAUCUGACAUGAGAGAAGAAAGGUGGACUGAAGAACAGAGGGCAGAGUCUUAGGCU